rnacentral:rRNA from 1 species
UACGAGGGGGGCGAGCGUUGUUCGGAAUUACUGGGCGUAAAGAGUGUGUAGGCGGUGUUCCAAGUCUGGUGUGAAAUCUCCCGGCUUAACUGGGAGGGUGCGCCGGAAACUGGAAUGCUCGAGGGUGGGAGAGGUAAGCGGAAUUCCUGGUGUAGCGGUGAAAUGCGUAGAUAUCAGGAGGAACACCUGUGGUGUAGACAGCUUACUGGACCACUUCUGACGCUGAGACACGAAAGCGUGGGUAGCAAACAGG